rnacentral:rRNA from 1 species
AGAACGAACGCUGGCGGCACGCCUAACACAUGCAAGUCGAGCGCCCAGCAAUGGGAGCGGCGGACGGGUGAGUAACACGUGGGAAUAUGCCUUUCGGUACGGAACAACUCAGGGAAACUUGAGCUAAUGCCGUAUACGCCCUUACGGGGAAAGAUUUAUCGCCGAAAGAUUAGCCCGCGUCUGAUUAGCUAGUUGGUGAGGUAAUGGCUCACCAAGGCUUCGAUCAGUAGCUGGUUUGAGAGAACGACCAGCCACACUGGGACUGAGACACGGCCCAGACUCCUACGGGAGGCAGCAGUGGGGAAUCUUGGACAAUGGGGGAACCCUGAUCCAGCGAUGCCGCGUGAGUGAUGAAGGCCUUCGGGUUGUAAAACUCUUUCGACGGGACGAUAAUGACGGUACCCGUAGAAGAAGCUCCGGCUAACUUCGUGCCAGCAGCCGC